GGAAAGGCGCGCGAUACAGGGUGACAGCCCCGUACACAAAAAUGCACAUGCUGUGAGCUCGAUGAGUAGGGCGGGACACGUGGUAUCCUGUCUGAAUAUGGGGGGACCAUCCUCCAAGGCUAAAUACUCCUGACUGACCGAUAGUGAACCAGUACCGUGAGGGAAAGGCGAAAAGAACCCCGGCGAGGGGAGUGAAAAAGAACCUGAAACCGUGUACGUACAAGCAGUGGGAGCACGCUUAGGCGUGUGACUGCGUACCUUUUGUAUAAUGGGUCAGCGACUUAUAUUCUGUAGCAAGGUUAACCGAAUAGGGGAGCCGAAGGGAAACCGAGUCUUAACUGGGCGUUAAGUUGCAGGGUAUAGACCCGAAACCCGGUGAUCUAGCCAUGGGCAGGUUGAAGGUUGGGUAACACUAACUGGAGGACCGAACCGACUAAUGUUGAAAAAUUAGCGGAUGACUUGUGGCUGGGGGUGAAAGGCCAAUCAAACCGGGAGAUAGCUGGUUCUCCCCGAAAGCUAUUUAGGUAGCGCCUCGUGAAUUCAUCUCCGGGGGUAGAGCACUGUUUCGGCAAGGGGGUCAUCCCGACUUACCAACCCGAUGCAAACUGCGAAUACCGGAGAAUGUUAUCACGGGAGACACACGGCGGGUGCUAACGUCCGUCGUGAAGAGGGAAACAACCCAGACCGCCAGCUAAGGUCCCAAAGUCAUGGUUAAGUGGGAAACGAUGUGGGAAGGCCCAGACAGCCAGGAUGUUGGCUUAGAAGCAGCCAUCAUUUAAAGAAAGCG
rnacentral:rRNA from 1 species